CAGAGUGAACUACAUUGGCUUGUGUAGCCGCAAGAUAUACAAAGCUAUCAAGAAAUGGACGGACAUUAUUCAUUAAGGCGCACAGCAACAAGCAUGUGUGAAUAAUGAGAGCUCAUCCAUCACAUCAGUUGAACAUGAAUUGAUAGUGUUCCACUUCAUUGGUCGUUUGCUGUAGAGUUGUUGGACAAAUAAUGUACAUGUAUUGUUAUGUUACAAAAAUAAAAAUAAAAUUUA